GUCAAUUCAAAAUAAAAUUUUGGUCAAAAUUGAAUUUGUGGUCAAACUCUUUUGAAAUUCAAAUUUAAAUCAUUUUCAAAUUUUAUGUUGAAAACCCUUUUUGAAAUUGUAUUUUGAUCCCCCCAAUUUUUCUAGUUGCAAAUAGGCCCUUUUAAAAUUGUAAGAUAACCCCAUGAAUUAAAGUUGCGUGUAGAGGCCUGCAAUUUGACAAAUUACACAACAGGCCCCCCUCCAAUAUAUAUCACUUGGGCGAUGUCGACAACAACUCAAUGACCACCAACAGCAUCACAGGGAGCGCUAUCAUUAUAUGGCAAUUGUGCACUCUUUGCUCCUACAUAAAAGUUGGUGCUGCAAAAAGGCUCAUAGCGACGAUUGGCGCUAUUGUGAUUAGCGACUUAGAUUGCCUUGAGAUGCAAAGCCAAGUCGCUAAUGUUGACUAUGAUUGCUGCCGCUAGCACUUUCGUUGACCACUUAUUAAAAUCAAUUUUCUUAAAAGCUAGACAAAGAAAUUAUCAAUAAUCAACUAUUGAUUGUUUCCAGAUUCAAAAAUAAUUUUCAACUAGUACAAAUUCGGCUCCAAUAUCAUUGUUAGGAAUUUAUUUAUACAUGCAUGGUAAAAUUUAAAAAUAAUCUCAAUUCCCUUCGAUGAUCAUUUUUGUGUUUAGAUAGAAAUCAUGAUUAGAAUUAUGCAUUUAGUAAAUUCUUCAAAUUCCUUCAAGAAUCUUGGAUCAUGAACAAUUACAAUCUUUGCAUGCCUUUGUGAAUUGAUCUUUCCACACAAUACUCGUUCAAUUGUUCAACCUUCAAUGGUAAUCUAUGUUUGAGAACAAUAAUAAGAGAUUAGUUUUUUUGUUUGUUUUUUGUUUUUGCGCUAGCAAGGUUGUGAUAUUGUGAAAUGUAUUAGUUAUAAUAGCAAUCUCAAUUGUUAUUGUACCAACUUAUGAAAAAUUGAACUCUAAUUGUUUAUUUAUAGAUGUUUAAUUGAAUAAAUAUAAGCCAGUCCAAUAUUAAAUUAAUCCAAUUAAUUAAACGUAGCAUAUAAGUUAAUUAAUACAAUCAAUUAACUUAAGCCCAUAAAUAAACAAUCUAAUUAAUUAAUUCAUAAUAUCAUUCUUCUAAUUCUCCUUUUGUGUGUGAUCCAUUACAUUCUCUAUCACGAUGUUGAACGAUUGAAUUACUAUUUUGAUCUAAUC
rnacentral:lncRNA from 1 species